rnacentral:lncRNA from 1 species
CUUCAAUUUGAUCUGUAAAAUCAGUCUCGUCACACUGUGAUCAGUCGUUGGUGGGUUGAUCUGUGUAAAUCAUCUACGGAGACCCUGCCACGUGACAGUGUCCCAGAUACUGUCCUGAGUAUGUAUCAUGCAAUGCUUAUACCAUUUAAUCCUCACAACCACUCUGCUGUUAAUGUAAUAACAUGUAAAUGUAAAUAAGCUAUGCCUAUUUUAUAGAAGAGGAAACUGAGGCAUGGGAGAGUUAUGUCAUCAGUCUGAGGUCACAGAGGUGUCUGUGAUGGGGCUCAAACGCAGAGCACCAGAGUUCCCACUUUCCAUGACGUGACACUGUCACCAUGAGCUGUCAGCAGGGAAACCAGUUUUAUUCUUGACUGUUAGGAUAAUGACCGUGAAAGAGACCAAGAGGCCUGGCUUUUAGAUGUCCCAGCUCUGUGUGCAGAGCCUCUGCAUGGUAGAUAUCAACCUAGAAUGGUGUUCCUUCCACUGUCAAGCAAGCAAUGACGGCAAGCAGUGUGGGUCCUUGAGACAGGAUGCUGUGCCUCCAGGAGACCCUGCUAGAGAAACAUCUGUACCUGGAAAGCAGAGGGUCUGGCUGGUCAGGGAGGGAGGGGCUGCUGGAGAUGAGAUUGCUCACACCGGGAAGAGGCUGGCUCCAGGGUCUGUAGAAGAUCGGAGACAAGAGAGGUGGGGGCAAUGGAGCUACCUGGGAGCUGAUGGAUGGGAAGGUGCGGGACUCCCAUGACCUCUGGGCUUUCUCACACCCUGGCCAUCCGGCCUCUGCCUCAUCAUCUUGCUAAAGUCUGACUGCUUAUCCUAGGAAGUGAUGGCCACAAAACAGAAAAAAACAGGCCUAGCCUCAGGAUGACAGUUGUUCCCAGCCUAGGAGAGGGUGAAGCCAGAGGAAGUGAGGGAAAACGGCCACACAGGUGUGAGACUCCACGGGAACGCAGCAGCAUGUGGGAAGCCGCGCCCACAUUCGCCGUUACAAGAUGGCGCUGACAGCUGUGUUCUAGGUGGUAGACAGAUAAUCUGCGCAUGUGCCGAGGGUGGUUCUCCACUCCAUGUGCUCUGCCUUCCCCGUGACGUCAACUCGGCCGAUGGGCUGCAGCCAAUCAGGGAGUGACACGUCCUAGGCGAAGGAUUAUUCUCCUUAAUAGGGACGGGGUUUCGCUCUCUCUCUCUCUUGCUUCUUUGCACUCCUGCUCCUGAAGAUGUAAGCAAUAAAGUUUUGCCGCAGAAGAUUUUGGUCUGUGGU